GUGCCAUACGCUUGCUCGCAUCUCUUCUUGGCUUCUCUGCGCAAGUUGUUCUUCGAUUACCUCCUUCUUUUCCUAUCUGAUAAUCAUCCCUUACUGUGAGUGAUUAGAUGGCGGAUCGAUUGACGCGUAUAGCUAUAGUGAGUUCGGAUAGGUGCAAGCCUAAAAAGUGCCGUCAGGAAUGCAAGAAGAGCUGUCCCGUUGUUAAGACUGGUAAACUGUGUAUUGAGGUUACCCCAGCCUCUAAGAUCGCUUUUAUCUCAGAAGAACUCUGUAUUGGAUGUGGUA
rnacentral:misc_RNA from 1 species